UACGGAGGGAGCUAGCGUUAUUCGGAAUUACUGGGCGUAAAGCGCACGUAGGCGGCUUUGCAAGUUAGAGGUGAAAGCCUGGAGCUCAACUCCAGAAUUGCCUUUAAGACUGCAUCGCUUGAAUCCAGGAGAGGUGAGUGGAAUUCCGAGUGUAGAGGUGAAAUUCGUAGAUAUUCGGAAGAACACCAGUGGCGAAGGCGGCUCACUGGACUGGUAUUGACGCUGAGGUGCGAAAGCGUGGGGAGCAAACAGG
rnacentral:rRNA from 1 species